CUCUGUUGCAAGCAUGGGUGCAAGCUGCCUUUAUUAAAGAUCACAUUGACGAUGUUUUGUCAAACCACUCUGAGGACAGAAUGUGUCCAAAAAGCUUCACUAACCCCUUGUUCUUCUGCUGGUAGGGCGGCGUCUGACCCCAGGUCUCGGGGCUGUGUGGAGAUUCCUCCCUGGAGCAGGGUCACCCCGUGAGGAUGAGCCACAGAGGUUCAGUUCUUGGAGCAGAUGCUGCACUCACCUCUGUGGACACGCACUGAGCUCUCACUGCAGGAACCCCUCAGGCCUCGGUGGCUGUCGGGUUGCCACGUACGAGACGGCAACAGCUUUCCCCGCUCCAAACUCCCCGCAAGCUCUGCAGCGUCAGGAGUGUUGGCUUUGUUGCCUCGUUCUGCAAAGCCAGAGUCCCCCGUUUCUGCGCUCUUCUGCAGCGUCUGCCGAGGGAGAGGACGAAGGAAACAGGAUUAAAUGUCCAUGCCUGUACAGAAAUAAUCGGUCUCUGCACCUCGACCCCAGUGCAGCCAAGGGAGGGAAGGCAGCACUGCUGGCUGCUCCUCCCCUGUGAUUGAGCAGAGAUUUGAAAUAGCCAAAGCUGUCGAGCACCAACAAAAGUCUCACUGUGUGUGCUAGAAAUCUUUCAGUGCUAAGUGCACAUUGAACCAGCCUACUUGUCAUGUUUCUUCUAGUGAAGCAUUAGCAUUAGUGUCAAAGCUUGUUAAUGCGAUACAGACAUUAUCCAGUGAAUAUAUAUAUUCCCAGCUCAUUUUGGGUGUGUUGCUAUACUGAACAACGUGGGAGGGAACGGUGGCUGUCACUUCUCCUUAUGCUGCUGUUAAACACCAUCACUGCAGGGCCUGGGCUGGCCUACCUUGCUAGGAGAAUUCUGCAGGGUGUGACAGAAUGUUUAAAGUAAUGAAACAUUGGCAUUGCAAUUAUUAUUUCCAGGUAUCUUUAUUUCUGACACAUUUGUCGGAGUAAUUACUCUGGGUAGUAGUUUUACUUCAGGCAGUAAAUUAGGUGCAUCAGCUUCAUCCUGAGCAGGUAUCAGCACGUUCCCAGAAGGAAUGUUAGCUUCUGUCCAACCCACUACAAAGGCCAGCAGGAGUGGUGCUGGUGCACAUCCGAAAUGAAGCACACUUUAACUCAGACUGCUUUGUGAAAUUUCUGUUGAGAUGUUUCUGCACACCUUCUCGUGACAUGUUGAAUUUAGAGAUGAGCUGAUAAAGGCAGGAACACUGUUGUGUCAUCAAUGUCUGAGCUUUUGAAGAUUUCAAACCCCUUUGUAUUAAGUCCUAAAAUUUUGACCAUCACUUAUGACAUGGAUGACACCACCUCAACUUCUCUAAGGAAGCCCUUAAUACAACUUAAAUAACUGAAAUAAUUGCCCCAGAGUACAUUUUUAUGUGCUCCAGAGCACAUAAUUGCAAACUGAAAUAAUUGACCCAGAGCACAUUUGUCCCAGCUGAGUGCUUCUGAAUUCACAACUACUAUGCACCAUAGAAUGGCAAAGUCUUUGCUUCACCUUUGCUGAGAAAAGACUGGAUGCCCGGUCUCAAAUCCCACACCCAAGGCUUUUUUUCUCAUUCUCAAAGACACCCUGGAUUGCAGCACAGUUCUUACACAAUGGUGUCAACAUAGAGAAUUACAGACCAGAUGCUGGCUAAACCUCUGGCUAGGCAACAGGAUUUGUGCUGGGCACCACCACAGCUCAUGAACACACUGCUCACAGCACACUAUUCUGACCAAAAGAUUCCUCUCAAUACAAAAUUUUCACUGGAUGCAACCCUUCCCUUCAGAAGUACUCAAAUGCUAUCAGUGUCAUGGUCACAAAUGUACAUAAGCACAUAAGCAGCUUUUAUGUUAGCUACAUAUAUCCUCCAAUGAAACUCUCCAUCAUGAGUCAUGUUUCUUAAGGAAGCUCCUUCUGCUAAGAUAAUGAAGCUAAAUUCAGGUAGCCUGGAGCAAACCCUUUGGCAGAUACAUGACUACAUUCCUGUAGUCUAAAUGAGAAUCUUUUCAGGGUGUUCUAAAAUAUCCCUGGACCUGACUUCCUUAGAAAAUAAAUUGCACUUGGUACCAUAAUGACCUUAGGAAACAAAGCUUCAUUUAAACUUAAAAGCAUCAGCCACAAUUAAAGCACUGCUUCAUUUUGCUAGGAUCUGUUUAAACCACUGCCAGUCAAAACAUAACAGGGGCCACUGACCUUAAGUUUUUAACAAGCAAUUAACUCUAACAAGCUUCCUAAAAAUUUAGUUCUUUAGUAAAUUAGAAAAAAAAAAGCCAAAACAAAAAAAAAAAGUUUCUAAACAAACAAACAAUUGAAACCAACAAACAAUCAAACAAACAAAACCAAAAAAACCCCACCCUCCAAUAGGUGAGUCUGAGCAGGUUCAUUCUAGAGCACCAUCUUUCAUUAUUACGAAUUCCACUGAAGUAAUUACAUCAUCUUCAACCCAGCCUUCAUCCCCCAAACCCAAGAACACUGUUGUUUUUUUUAAAGCAAGGAUCUCUACCUCCACUCACCAAUUUUUAGGUAAAAAAAAUCCAAAAGCCGAGGGGUUCCAGGUUAACAGCAGCACAACCUGAUGUUUAGAACAACAUCUGUUGUUCCAGUACCUGAUAGAGAUGCCCCCCCUCCAAGCUUUACUUUCUUGUGGUUCCACUUGUUUUCCCUCUGGGGCAUCUCACACUUCUGAGCUCCACAUGGCCCCAGUGCUGAGAAGCUCUAAGGAGGUACCUGAAAGCAAACUUAAAUAAACACAAGACUUACAUUAUCCCAGUUUACUGUCAUUUGCCUUGAAGAGCUCUUAAAUGUUUCAGUAAGUGUAAAAUUGCAACACUCUAACUGCUGUCUCAUUAAGCAUCAGAAUAAACAGCUGCUUAUUUUAAUGGGUUUCUUCAGGCAGUUGCUAACAGUUCUUUUGCCACAUGCUGUGGUCGGUGCUUAAAUAUUACUAGAGGUUGGUUCUGCCUAAUACAGUCUGUGGCCGCCUGCAAGGUAAAAGCAUCUUUGAAAG
ensembl:lncRNA